rnacentral:rRNA from 1 species
GACGAACGCUGGCGGCGUGCUUAACACAUGCAAGUCGAACGGAAAGGCCCUGCUUUUGUGGGGUGCUCGAGUGGCGAACGGGUGAGUAACACGUGAGUAACCUGCCCUUGACUUUGGGAUAACUUCAGGAAACUGGGGCUAAUACCGGAUAGGAGCUCCUGCAGCAUGGUGGGGGUUGGAAAGUUUCGGCGGUUGGGGAUGGACUCGCGGCUUAUCAGCUUGUUGGUGGGGUAGUGGCUUACCAAGGCUUUGACGGGUAGCCGGCCUGAGAGGGUGACCGGCCACAUUGGGACUGAGAUACGGCCCAGACUCCUACGGGAGGCAGCAGUGGGGAAUAUUGCACAAUGGGCGGAAGCCUGAUGCAGCAGCGCCGCGUGCGGAAUGACGGCCUUCGGGUUGUAAACCGCUUUCGCCUGUGACGAAGCGUGAGUGACGGUAAUGGGUAAAGAAGCACCGGCUAACUACGUG